rnacentral:rRNA from 1 species
GUUUUUUUAGAAAUAAAUUUAAUUUACAGGUUUUUGAUUUUUUGGUUAUUUAUUUAAUUGAAAAAUUUAUUUAUUUGAAUAUCUUAAGGGAUAAGCUUUAAGAUAAAUUAUUAAAAAUUAAUAAUGUUAAUAUAAAAUGUAUGCUUAGAAUUAGCAACCAUUAUAAAGUUUGUUAUAAAUUAUUUUAUAAAUUAUAUUAUUUAUUAUAUUUUAAUUUAUUUAUAAAAAUUUUUUUAUUAAUAAAAUAUAAAAAGAAAUAAUGAUAGAAUUAGUAUAUUUUUUGUUUAUAUAAUUUUAAAUGAUAGGUUUGUAUAAAGAACUCGGCAAAAAUUUUACCCGCCUGUUUAACAAAAACAUGUCUUUUUGAGUUAUUUUAAAAGUCUGACCUGCCCACUGAAAUUAUUUAAAUGGCCGCAGUAUUCUAACUGUGCAAAGGUAGCAUAAUCAUUAGUCUUUUAAUUGAAG